CCCCGCACACCCGCACAGCACCGGGUAAGCGCAGGGGUUGUGCGGGUGAGCGGCGUCCCCACCCCGAUUGCCAUCUCAACAUGUCACGC